ensembl:lncRNA
AGAAGAGAAGCAGCAUUAAACCAUCAGAGCUCUGAGAUGAAACACACUUUGGUCUGCUUCAUCUUCCUCACAGCACUUCAGGAUGGAAACACUGGUUUGGUCAAAGCACAAACUCUCACCCACAGAGCAGAGGAAGGAGGAAACAUCACAGUUAAAUGCAGCUUUUAUUUCUCUGGAAGCAGGAAACUCUUCUGUAAGGAAAAAUGUGAAAAUGGAAACAUUCUUGUUGAAACAUCUGAUGAUGCAGCUCAGAACGGCAGAUACAGCAUUAAAUAUGAAAUCAAAGGCUUUUUCUCAUAUACUCUGUAUGUGAGCAUCACACAGCUGAAACAGUCUGACUCAGGACGGUACAGGUGCUCUUUGGACAGAAUUUUUGAUACAGGGAAAGAUGAGUUUGAGCUGAUUGUCACAGCAGCUUCAACCACUUCAACACCAAACGGGACUCUGAGACCUUUUUCAGCUUCAGUGUUUCUCUCAUCAGCCUCCACACCACCAACAACACAGAGUUUAAGCUCAACUUCAGGAAGCUCCACACCUUCAUCAGCCUCUGCGCCACCAAAAAUGGAAACAACACAGAGUUUAAGCUCAACUUCAGGAAGCUCCACACCUUCAUCAGCCUCCACUGAAACCAAAGAUGCAAGAUCAGAUGUGCUGAUUUAUGUGGGUCUGAUUCUGGUCGUUAUGAUCGUCGUCUUAUCAGCAGCUCUGCUGAUUUUCUGCAUGAGGAGGAAGACCACUAAACCCAGAGGACCUCCUGUGGAAACAGAGUAUGCUGACACGCAGGCCGACAGGUUGUAUGAAGAGAUCAGAGAGUGUGACAUGCCGAGCAGGUCACCUCCUGUCGAAGUGUCUUCAGUUUAUGCCACUGCUAAAGACCCCCGUUCAGAUGGAGUUGAAAAUAUAGACCUCUACAGCCUUGCAACCUCUCCUCAUAACAAUGCAGAUAACCUCUGCUACGCUGAAGUGGAGUUUUCCCACAUUCCUGCCACCAGCAGCGCCCCCUGUGGUGAAGCAACUGAUGUUGUCUACUCAGUGCCUCAGGUGGACCUGAGUACUGCCAGCCACACCAAAGAUGCUUCACCUCCUGUGUACUCUACUGUUUCCUCACUAUGAAUUACUUCAGUACUUUUUUUAAACCUGUCCUGUCCAGCAGCUGUAACAAGCGUAAUGUCUGAAUGCUUUGUUUUGCCAAACAUAUUUGCUUUCCCAAGAGGGGCACUGUAGGCUCUCUGUAGGCUCCUCUUUUUAGGUUUUUGUUUUAUUUAUUUAAUCCUAUUAUUCAUAUUUUUCUGUGUAUGGGUGGGGGAAAAUCGAGGAUGAAGCCAACAGACAUGCUGGGUCUCCAACUGCUACAUCUGUGACAAAGUACACAAACAAUAAGCAACACCUGAAAGACAAAACACAGUGUGUGUGUGUGUGUGUGUGUGUGUGUGUGUGUGUGUGUGUGUGUGUGUGUGUGUGUGUGUGUGUGUGUGUGUGUGUGUGUGUGUGUGUGUGUGUGUGAACCAGAAAGAGAGAAGAUGGGAGUGUGUAUGAUUGUUUGUAAUGAAACACAUUUGAAAAAUGAGGGUGAAGGCCUGGGAAAGACCCAAGAGACCCCAGCUUUCCACAGCUCCCAAGAGACCUGAAGAUCUUAAUCUCAACAACCAUACAUUCUAUCCUAGCCGAGGGAAGAUGGAGGCCGGACGGAGCUCCUAUAGCCAGCAGGCAACCAACCCCGCUGGCCACCCCAGCAUGAGGCAAAGGCGGGACUCAGUAACUGCCCAACACCCAGCAGAGCCCCCACCGCACAACGAAGAGGCCCAAGCUAGCCCUGGACACACACAGCCAUCCCCACACUCUGAAGUGUGGAUGGACAGGUGCCUUCCCAUAGCCAGCAGUGAUCCCGGGACGCAGUCAGCCAGUCCCCCGAUCACCAGCCAGACACGACAUCAGCCAGGGUGGUGAUAAUUACAUGAGCACUUAAGCUAUGGGUGAAACCUAUACAAAAGUUAGUUUAUUUUUCUACUUUUGACAUAUUUAUAACUUCAAUGCACAGUCACAUAGCCUCAGGUUAAAGCUGUUUUUAUUACAGCUGCUUAUAAUUCAGCUCAACAGAUACAAAAAAUGUUGCUAUUAUGAUUUUGUAGGAUAGAUGAAACCGUUGCAGGAAACAGACUGCUAUCAUUUAAGGACAUGAUAUAAGGAAAACAAAAAGUGAAGAGAUACAGUAAACUACAUGUUUUUAAUGAAAAUAAAUAUGAACAUUGGCAGUUUUAACAGUGUCUGGUUUUUAUUUUCUUUUAUAAAAUAUCUUAUAGAUAUUAAAAUAUACACAUUUCCUUCACUUCUGCAGUGGAAGUAUUUAGACUCUUCUUCAUACAGAGGAUAUUGAAAAAGAAAUCAACUGGACUUCUUAAACUUUUUGAAGAUGCUUCAUCCAGG